UAAAAAUAUUCAACAAACUUAAAGUGUUUUUUUAAAAUUUAAAACAAUUUUAGUGAUAUGUUUGUCUUUUUUCUAAAAUAAAAAUAUGAAGUAAGACAAAGAAGAAAGAAGAAACCUUAAAAACCCAAAGAAGAGCACUAGUAGCAACCAGCCCAGCCAGCAGGAUCGAAUUUCCUCAUUAGCGUAAACAGAAGUUGAAGCUGAACCUUGACCAUCCUAAAUUGAGUGGAGAAAAAAGUGUGCAAAAUGCUAUAACUGAAGUAGCUGCAAUGAUGGGGGAGAAUGUCAAACUAAGAAGAGGGUUUGCAGUGUCUGCUCCAUCAUUUGGUGUGAUAUCAACGUAUCAACAUACAAGCCCUCAUCCAGGUGUUGGAUGUAUUGCCGGGAUGUUAUCACUUGAAGUAGAAGAUAAGAAUGUCUCACAAGAUGCACUUCAGCUUGUUGGAUCAUGAUACCAAACGGCAUCUACAACACUAAAACAGUCCGCAGACAACCCACAAUCACAAGCCUUCACCCGCAACAACAAGACAACAACACGAUACGAGAAGCAAACAUAAACUUAAAGAGUAAAAGAUAGCUAACUUGACACAAAGAGAACCCAUUAGGUAGCAACUAAAGAGUGUAUCAAAACUCUAAAACCUCUACAAAACAAGUUAACAAGUAUCAAGUUCUUGCAGUGACCGCCAAGGGAAUCAACUCACCUCAAGAUCCACCGUUUCCAAGCAAAGAACAAUAUUGGCCUUUCCAAGCCCUACACUAAUGGCUUAUCCAAGCCCUACGCUAAGGAUGUUACUCUCUCAAAGGGAGAAGAAGACUUUCAUAUAUUUAUCCUUCAAAAACUAAAGAGCAAAUGACUUAAUAGAAGACUAUAUAGAGGCUAGCUUAUUACAUAACAAAAAUGACCACAAUACCCUUAAUGAAAGGGGUGGCCAUGAAGCGUCUUUCUAACAAAGUGUGAUCCCCAAACCACCCUUAAUGAAGGUUUCUUCUUCAAUGCUCCACAAUGUAGGGUCAUUCUUCAACACUUGUAGUCUCGAGUUGGCAUCAAAGGUAAGCCCCCACGCAAUCUUCCACACACAGGUUUACCUUAUGUCAUGCUCAAAACGGGUCCUCCAUGCAUGUUCUUGUGUCCGUGACCAAGUAUUGAGUCUUUAUGCGUUGGCAUCCAAUGACGUCUUCAAAAGCAUAGAUGUCCAUUUGGAUCGUAUCAUCCUUCCCUUCUUGAAAAGGAUUCGACCUCGAAUCCAUACCUUGUAAAACUAAAGAAAGGACAAACAAGCACAACUUCCUCAUGGCAUAAGGGUUAGGGUUAGUACAACAAAUAACAUCAUCAUGCCAAGGUGGUACAUACUUAAGAUAUAACCAUGAAUCCUUUGUAUUAGUCAAGAAAAGUUUAGUAAGAAUGUUACAAGGGAAAUGGCUAUGACAAGUAUCAAGCGAUAAAGAAACUACAAAGGUCGUAAUGGUAUCACUAAGUCCAAAAAGUAAGGCUACCCUUGUCUUAGGAACCAUAAAGCACAAUUGUUUCAUUACCUCUUCAAGUGGCCUCAUCAAAUGUGGUGCCACUAUUGGUAUCAAAGUCCACCAAUCCCACAUAAUUUUGUCAUUCAAACAAGUGGGCCAACCAAUAAAACCUAUACCUCUACUUAAUGCAAACCCAAAACUAGCAUGGGUGUCAUCAUAGGCAAAGAGGUAGUAUAGGAAAGAAUCAAGUAUAAAGACAUCCAAGGGUGAAGGCAAAGCAUUUAAGAACAUACACUCUCUUUUCUUCAAACAAAUAGACAACUUGGCAUCCACAAGUUGGGAUUCAUACAAUUUAAGCAAAAGUGUGUUAAGUAAGGAUGCAUAUUUAGAAACAUUACCCCAAUGAAUCAAUGACACCUUUGCCCUCUGGUUGUCAAGAAGGACUAUACAUUCCUUAUCCUUAAGAGUACUCUCAUCUUGCAAAAAGAGAUUUCCAUCUUUAGGACUAAUGUUGUCACACCAUAAUGGGUUAGCAUAUAGGCUAUAGACUUCAAGACAAUCUAUACUAUCAUUCUCACCACUAGGUUCAUUGGGAGUGAUUAUACCAUCUUCAAACAAGACAUUAUACCUAAAGAGAGCAUGAUCUAUCCUGCAGGUAGAUUUGGAACAAGUAAGUUCACUCUCUAAAAGUUCAUUAUCAAGUUUUAAAGAUGUUUAAAGCACAUGAUUAUCCCUAUGAGCCAAGCAAAUAUUAGAAUCAAAGGGCAAGCUCGCGGGUUCACUCCUAUUCCUUUGAUCAACAUUUUCAACAUCAUCACACACUUGAGAUUCAUUAAUCAUAUCACACACAUCCUCAAGUGUUGAAAAAUUUUCAAACAAAAGUUGAUCAACAUAAAUUUCACAAGACGAUGUACUUUCAUUCAACACUAGGUAGACAUAAAUCGAUCUUACAAGAAGGGUCGAUUCGGUCAUCAAUAGGAUCAACUAGUGUAUCCACACUUACAACAAGUACAUCAUCAUCAAGUGGAAAAGAAACAAUAGACUCACAUAUAGGCAAGCUACAACUCACACUCAAUAGGCCACUAGCCACACAAUUAUCAUUCGCAUGUACAAAAGUGUAAGAGUUAGCUAUUUUACCUUGACGUUCAUGAGUGUGUUCGUCUUUACCUCGGUGUGAAAUUCCAUCACAAUCUUGGGCAGCAACUUCCUUUGGGAAGCUCUCAUCGCAAGUUGUUUGGACAAUUGGAUUUUGAGGGAAGAGUUUGGGUAACAAUUGGUGUAUAAUUUCAAUGUGCCGUUGCAUAACUUCAAGAUCGUCAUAGAUGCGAUUACACGUGGCUUUAAAAUUAUGGGCAGUCAUGGUACCUAAAAAAAAAAAAGACAACAACAAACAAAAGAAAACAAACAAGAUUAGUAGUAAAAGCUCUUUACCAACAC